ACAAAUUCACUCUCACAACAUUUGCCACGUGUCACGUUUAUUGAAACUCAUUGUUUCACUAAAAGAUGUGGGAUUUACGUUUUUUUUUCGACAAAUAAACAAAAAGUCUUCUUCUUCUAUCUCUGAACAGCCAUGACCUUAUGUCUUCUCUUCAGAUAAACGAAACGUUUCUCCUAAUUGAUUCAUCCCUUUAUCAUGCUUCUCAACACCAUCACCCCUCUUUGAACACGACCUGUUUAGAGAAAACGAGGAUAUCAGCAUGAUGCCAAUACCUUGGAGGCUUGGAGCGAUGGUGAUCUUCCUGCCUAAACCGAACUGUUUUCUCUGCGUUCCCAUCCCUGCUUUCGCCGGUAACUUGCUUAGCCUUAGGAAAUGUUUUAAGAAGCCAGAAGCGAGCUCAUGGGUGAAUCUAAGGCGACACUUAUGCCAACAACCGUGAACCACCCCAGCUGAGAAGUUCCAGUUUUGAAAGUAUGAACAACUACAGGCUGUGACUAAUGCUGGCUUUGAUUUGCCGGAUCGAUACUCCACUGAAUGAGAGGGGAUGGAAGAGUUCUACUGAUGGUUCUACUUCUCCACCACAAUGGAGCUGCGAAAAUAGGAACAAGCUUACAGUGAAUUAAGGUCUGAUUCAUGUGUUUGUCACAGGUUGUUAUUAACUCUGUUUGUGCUAUAUACAAUACAAGUGCUUCUCUCAAGCUGUCUGAUUAUUUUCUAUUGAUUUAUAACUCUUUGGAUGAAGAUGAGAUGCUAAGAAAGCUGAGGAGUUUGCAAGGUUUGGUGAUCAAAUUGGACUAAAUGAGAAGGCUUUAGGCUACAGAGAAACAAAGAAUUAGCAAAGAUCAGUUACAAAUGUAAGAGCUCCCCCACAUGCAUCACAUGGUCUGUAAGAAAUAAUAUUCUUGGCUUAAGACAUGCAUCACUUUCCCAUUUUUAGAUUCUAUCACCUUAUUUUCAAAUUUUUUAUUACUUCCUCCACUAUUCACUUCAAAAUUCUGAUUCUAUUUUAUAAAAUCAUAAAAUAUGUUCAUUAGGCCAA